rnacentral:rRNA from 1 species
UACGUAGGGUGCGAGCGUUGUCCGGAAUUAUUGGGCGUAAAGGGCUCGUAGGCGGUUUGUCGCGUCGGGAGUGAAAUCCACUGGCUUAACUGGUGGCUUGCUUUCGAUACGGGCAGACUGGAGGUAUGCAGGGGAGAACGGAAUUCCCGGUGUAGCGGCGAAAUGCGCAGAUAUCGGGAGGAACACCGGUGGCGAAGGCGGUUCUCUGGGCCUGACCUGACGCUGAGGAGCGAAAGCGUGGGGAGCGAACAGG